AGAGGUUUCUAAAACUGGAGGGCAAAGGCUUAAGAUGAGAGAGAAGCGAUUUAGGAGGGAUCUCAGAGGCAGCUUUUUCACUCAGAGGGUAGUCCGUAUCUGGAAUGAGCUGCCAGAGGAAGCACUAGCGGUAGAUGCAGCUUUGAAAAC